CCUACGGGGGGCAGCAGUGAGGAAUAUUGGUCAAUGGACGCGAGUCUGAACCAGCCAAGUAGCGUGAAGGAUGACUGCCCUAUGGGUUGUAAACUUCUUUUAUAUGGGAGUAAAAUGUUCCACGUGUGGGAUUUUGUAUGUACCAUAUGAAUAAGGAUCGGCUAACUCCGUGCCAGCAGCCGCGGUAAUACGGAGGAUACGAGCGUUAUCCGGAUUUAUUGGGUUUAAAGGGAGCGUAGGUGGUUUGUUAAGUCAGUUGUGAAAGUUUGCGGCUCAACCGUAAAAUUGCAGUUGAAACUGGCAGGCUGGAGGACAGUAGAGGGGGGCGGAAUUCGUUGUGUAGCGGUGAAAUGCUUAGAGAUCACGAAGAACGCCGAUUGCGAAGGCAGCUCACUGGACUGCAACUGACACUGAGGCUCGAAAGUGUGGGUAGCAAACAGGAUUAGAUACCCGGGUAGUC
rnacentral:rRNA from 1 species